rnacentral:rRNA from 1 species
UACGAAGGGGGCUAGCGUUGCUCGGAAUCACUGGGCGUAAAGCGCACGUAGGCGGACUGUUAAGUCAGGGGUGAAAUCCUGGAGCUCAACUCCAGAACUGCCUUUGAUACUGGCGAUCUCGAGUCCGGGAGAGGUGAGUGGAACUGCGAGUGUAGAGGUGAAAUUCGUAGAUAUUCGCAAGAACACCAGUGGCGAAGGCGGCUCACUGGCCCGGUACUGACGCUGAGGUGCGAAAGCGUGGGGAGCAAACAGG